rnacentral:lncRNA from 1 species
UUCAGCCCCAUAUAGUUGGGUUUUGUGGGCUAGUUUCAAGGUGUAACCCCUUCUAAACACUUCCAAAGCCCAACCCAUUGAAACCCUAAUCCUUCCCCCUAUAAAUACCACUUAUAACCAGCCUCCCUACCACUUUUGCAACACUAAAAACUCUCAAAACAUCCUCCAAACUGUAGCUGAAAGCAAGGGUUCGAGCAGAUUGAUACCCCUUCACGAAAAUGAGCAUAACUCACUCAAUUCUUAUCCGAUUCACUCGAUUCUUUUUCCUACUACUUUGUAUUGACCUUAUCUACGUUUCCAUGGGUUUUUCACAGUAAAUAAGUCCCUGGAACUCCGGCAAAAAGGCUCCAAAGUCCACUGAUUGUUUUUGUUUUCAUGAAAUCCUUGUUAUUUCUUACCAAACUUGAGUCUAUCUCAUCUCAAACCUAUGUCCUAAUGCUUACAACACUUUAGUGGUUGGUUAGGCUUAAAAACAAGGUUGAGACACUUAAAAAUCAGAGGAUUAAACCUCAUAAACUUAGUGUUUUGUUUAGGGUUUUAACCCACAAGUCAUGUCAAACUUUGUCUUUGAUACAUGAGUGAUUAUGGAACAACUUGGGUUGUCCAAACAUACAAUCCUCACAUGAUUUGAUGAUUUCUCUUAGUUAGUGUGUAUAUUUCUUAUUCUUUAUUGUAUGUUCAUGACCCUCCUUGGUUGUUUUUUUUACAUCAUGUGUAGUGGUGAACACAUAGAGGUGCCUAAAUGGAAGACUCGAUCUUCCUACCUCCUACAUGAUUUCUAUGACAUUUAGAGGUACCAAAAUGAAGAUUUUAAUCUUCUACCUCAUGCUUGAACUAUUGGACAUAUAUUAUAUAACCUAAACAUAUUAUUCGAAUAAUCGAAUCUUUGAUGAUGAACUAGUGUUCAUAUGUCGGGGUACUAGAUUACAUCAUCCUAGACUAUGAUAACUUGUCACGAUUCUAAUGGAACCUUGUUCCAUGAAAACAUCUAAACUCCUUCGAGUUUCCUAGUGUCAAGAACAAGCAUCAUAUGUACUAGAUGAUUAUUUUCCAUGUUAUUCUCAUAUCUUAUUUUUAUGUUGUUUUAAACACCGAAUCUCGACUCUAAACAUACUUGAACUUUAACCCUUAUACAUUCGGACUCUAAAUCUCUACUCGUCAACAAUUGGAUAAUCGGAAAGCAUAUGCAAGCCUUGUUGAGGAUGAUGAUGCCAUGAAAAGAAGUAGCGUUGAU